rnacentral:rRNA from 1 species
ACUCCUACGGGAGGCAGCAGUGGGGAAUAUUGGACAAUGGGGGCAACCCUGAUCCAGCCAUGCCGCGUGAGUGAUGAAGGCCUUAGGGUUGUAAAGCUCUUUCAGCGAGGAGGAUAAUGACGUUACUCGCAGAAGAAGCCCCGGCUAACUUCGUGCCAGCAGCCGCGGUAAUACGAAGGGGGCUAGCGUUGUUCGGAAUCACUGGGGCGUAAAGCGCACGUAGGCGGAUUGAUAAGUUAGGGGGUGAAAUCCCCGGGGCUCAACCUCGGAACUGCCUUUGAUACUGUCAGUCUUGAGUCCGAGAGAGGUGAGUGGAACUCCGAGUGUAGAGGUGAAAUUCGUAGAUAUUCGGAAGAACACCAGUGGCGAAGGCGGCUCACUGGCUCGGUACUGACGCUGAGGUGCGAAAGCGU